ensembl:lncRNA
CUUCAGCACCACUUUCUGAGAGGACUCAUGUAAAACAGAUACAGAGAGCAGAGUCUCCUUCCUACUCUCAGGCUACGACAGACAGCAGUUCAUUGAUACACACACUGAACACUGUCCAGAUUCACAGGCACAUGCAUGUUUUUAGAUUCUUUGAGUACUGGCACAACCCCUCUGCCCAUCCAGCACUGGUGCCUGGAUCCUGAGCUGUCUUACCCACGUCAUGGGUCAUCCACUUGCCAUUUGGUUCACUAUACCAUUGCACUGCUCACACUCAUCCUUCAUGCCUAUCACAUUUACAAGUCCCCUUGGGCGUAACAGCACACAGAUGGACUGCCUGCCUAAUGACCUGGCCCAGAUCUAAGGCCCCCACUACUCACUCACUAGUCCAGUUCACAACUUUUUAGCAAAUACACACAUGUACUCCAUACACAACAUGUCUGGGGAAGAGACAACCACUCAGCAGCCAGUACCAGACACAUUAUCUGUGACCCAUGGUUGUGCUCCAGCUGUUAGGGUGAACUUCUCACUCACCUCCCUCAUGUGCGUGCCUCAAGUAGCUGACUGGUUUGGGAGCACACACUGCUCCUGCCACAUGGUUGGGGUAGAAGAGCCCUGAAAAGAAGGCACCUGGAGUGGCACUCCACUGGUUGUGCUCCUCAGUAUAGAUGUCCUUCAUCAGAUAACCCUGAUGGAAUAAACAUUCCCACAUUCAGCCUGGAGAAGAGAAGGCUGCGGGGUGACCUCAUUGCAGCCUUUCAGUACCUGAAAGGAGCCUAUAAACAGGAAAGGAGUAAACUCUUUGAAAGGGUAGAUAACAGCAGGACAAGGGGAACAGUUUUAAGUUGAAAGAGGGAAGAUUUAGGUUGGAUGUUAGGGGGAAGUUCUUUACAAGGAGAGUGGUGAGGUGCUGGAACGGGCUGCCCAGAGAGGUUGUGGAUGCCCCGUCCCUGGAGGUGUUCAAGGCCAGGCUGGAUGGGGCUCUGGGCAACCUGGUCUAAUAAAUGGGGAGGUUGGUGUCCCUGCCCGGUAGGGGGGUUGGAGAUUCAUGAUCCUUGAGGUCCCUUCUAACGCAGGCCAUUCUGUGAUUCCGUGAUUCUGUGAGUGCCAGGAAUUUUUGGCAUACAUGGGGAAAAUAUAUAUAAAUAAAAGAUAGGAAGGGAAUUUAUAAUAUCUAAUAUAUCUUGUCACAAUAGAUAGCAGACUUUACUGAAACACUUACUAAUUGGUUUUUGAUUCCUUGCCCAACUAUAUAAUUGCAGUUGAUUAAAAGCAUCUCAAUUUUUUUUUCAGCAAAGGUGUGAAAAUAAUGUUCAUUCAGCCUGACUUUAAAAGACCUCAGUCCCCCAUGGCAAAGAACAAAAAUUGUGCUGCAGAGAAGAACCAACAAAUAAUGC